UACGAAGGGGGCUAGCGUUGUUCGGAAUUACUGGGCGUAAAGCGCACGUAGGCGGAUACUUAAGUCAGGGGUGAAAUCCCGGGGCUCAACCCCGGAACUGCCUUUGAUACUGGGUAUCUCGAGUCCGGAAGAGGUUGGUGGAACAGCUAGUGUAGAGGUGAAAUUCGUAGAUAUUAGCUAGAACACCAGUGGCGAAGGCGGCCAACUGGUCCGGUACUGACGCUGAGGUGCGAAAGCGUGGGGAGCAAACAGG
rnacentral:rRNA from 1 species